rnacentral:rRNA from 1 species
AUUGAACGCUGGCGGCAGGCCUAACACAUGCAAGUCGAACGAGUGGCGGACGGGUGAGUAAUGUCUGGGAAACUGCCUGAUGGAGGGGGAUAACUACUGGAAACGGUAGCUAAUACCGCAUAACAUCAGAUGUGCCCAGAUGGGAUUAGCUAGUGGGUGGGGUAACCGCUCUCCAAGGCGACGAUCCCUAGCUGGUCUGAGAGGAUUGCCAGCCACACUGGAACUGCGACACGGUCCCGACUCCUACGGGAUGAAGCAGUGGGGAAUAUUGCACAAUGGGCGCAAGCCUGAUGCAGCCAUGCCGCGUGUAUGAAGAAGUCCUUCGGGUUGUAAAGUACUUUCAGCGGGGAGGCGUUACCCGCAGAAGAAGCACCGGCUAACUCCGAGCCAGCCGCCGCGGUAAUUC